UCUAAUAGGAGUAUACUCCGCGCUUACUUGGUGACAACAACUAAACUUCGCCCGAUUUUACAUUUUGGUAUCUGGAAUUUUAGCGAAAUUUAUUUAAAGACAGCAGAGGAAUGAUCGUACUCCUAGUACGGGGAAGGAUAAAUAGUCGUGGUGAUCUUGGACGAUUUAAAACAAUAAUUUAUUUUAUGAAGAACUAUCGUACCGUGUCGCUAAGCCUAGUGGACAAAGUUAUUGCAUCUGCUUCCUUUAAAUAGUUACCGUUUACGGUACAGACAAAUUCUUAAAACGCGUGGAGUAGAUUGACUCCCACGCGGAAUAUACUCUAACAAAUAAAUGUAAUCGUACACGAAGCAAUAAUGUUAACGAUCAACAUUUUGUAAACAGCACUCCUUGCUAUUGUAUAAAAUAACGAUGAUAUUAAGAUGGCCUGGUUCUAGCGGGGCACUAGACGAUGUAUAAGAUGUUGACCUUCACUUUAUUUGUUUUACACGAUGUUUAUGAGACAAUGGUAUUCAACAUUGCGACUUAUACCUACAUUUUCAAAUAGAAUAAAAUAGUAUCGUAACAGAAUGAACGCAUCGUGUAGUGUUCAAAUAUUAACGCGAACAAUAAAAUUAACGGCGAUUUCGAAGAAC